GACCCCAGGUCAGGCGGGCUACCCGCUGAGUUUAAGCAUAUCAAUAGCCGGGAGGA
rnacentral:rRNA from 1 species